GUAUAGUUUUUUGUUUAUAAAAGGUCAUUACAACCAUUUAUUGAUGACAUUCGUUAAACUUUACAGGGUGUGUAUAGAAAAACAUAGGCUGAUUGCUCAGCCUACAAUAAGGUGCACAGGUGUGAGAAUGAAACAGAAAAAGAGCGUGCACGAUGCCUUGCGGCCAGCAACAACUCUCCCCCCUUUUAAAUUCAUUAAUGAUCCUUCCGCAGGUUCACCUACGGAAA
rnacentral:misc_RNA from 1 species